GGCGUCGUGAUGUAGUUGGUUAUCAUAUUAGUCUAACACACUGAAGGUCUCCGGUUUGAAUUCUUGUGAUGCCA
rnacentral:tRNA from 1 species